GAUCAGUUAACAUCUAAUCAUGUCACGUUCGUUGCAUUAGCUUCUUUCGAUCUGUAAUAAUUUAAACGGAUAAAGCAUGUACUUAUCAAACAUUACCUAAUAAUUACAUGCCCCGAAGUCAAUACCGGGGGAAAAUAGCAAAUGGGAAACAAGAUUCUCCCGGCUUAGCGACUGCCUGGAGGAAGGAGGAGAGGGGAUGGUCAGAAAGGAAAUGAAGGGGAAAGGAGAAAGAACUAUUUUUAGGAUGAGCGAAGAGAAAGAGGGGUAAUGUUCGCGUGCCCUUAUAAGUUUGAAUAUGAAUUGGAAUGGUAACUAUGAGGUAUACACACUUAAUCAUGUGCCUAAGGCCUCGACCAGCGACGAUGCCGCGCAAAUGUUCCCUCGUACAUGGGCGUGCAUUCGCUGUGGAGGCCUACACAAGAAUUGCCUCAGAGGGGAAAGGGUACUUGGUUUGAUUACAGCAAACUGAAUAAAGUUCAAUUCCCUAUUGUUGA